UGUUGCCUCCAGCUACCGAGAAGGAAAAAUGAAAUGAGAAAACGGGAAUGAAAAGAUAAAUAGUCCGGAAUGUGGAAAUGUAAACAUUUUGGCACUGAGCAAACUUAAAAAUGUGGGCGUGUUUUUCAUCACCUGUCUACUGUUAUAGAGCACAGCUACCACAAAGAUGGCCAUGAGGAUGAUGCACACACCCCUUUUGCACAGGAGCCUCACCUGUACGACUCCACCAGCAAACCGGCAAAAGCGGCCGCCAGCAGCAUGAAGGCCAGCUGCAGCACGCAGCUCAGCCUGAGGAAGACCGCACAGGUAACCAUAGCGACCACUGCGCUCAGCAUCACGUACUGUAGAUGGGAAACAAAGAUGUCAAUGGCGCAGGAAACGGUAGGAUGGGACUUGUGGAAAAUGUUUAGUCACCUCUGGAUGGGUGCAGAUGUUCACGUCAGGCGGAGAAGAUGAGGAGGAAGUCAACUCACCGACCGCAGACAAAUCACACCACAACUAAAGAGGUAACGGCACAAGAGGUAGUAAGAAGUUAUGGAGAAGACACAAAGGGAGAGGACACGGAUAGGUAGGUCAAAU